GUAAAGUCAGCUAAACAAGCUCUCGGGCCCAUACCCCGAAAAUGUAGGCUAAUAUCCUUCCUUUACUA
rnacentral:tRNA from 1 species